GACUACUACCAUAGCACCCUGAAUGCAUCUAACUUGUCUGAUUUCAGGAGUUGAGCAUGGUCAGCCUUGGGUAGUACUUGGAUGAGAGACUGCCCAGAACUUUUAAUUUUAUAGGGGUUC
ensembl:rRNA Gm23782 predicted gene, 23782